UGCGGCAAAAGCUCAAAUUUGAAAUCUGGCGUCUUUGGCGUCCGAGUUGUAAUUUGAAGAAGGUAUCUUUGGGCCCGGCUCUUGUCUAUGUUCCUUGGAACAGGACGUCACAGAGGGUGAGAAUCCCGUGCGAUGAGAUGACCCGGGUCUGUGUAAAGUUCCUUCGACGAGUCGAGUUGUUUGGGAAUGCAGCUCUAAGUGGGUGGUAAAUUCCAUCUAAAGCUAAAUAUUGGCGAGAGACCGAUAGCGAACAAGUACAGUGAUGGAAAGAUGAAAAGAACUUUGAAAAGAGAGUGAAAAAGUACGUGAAAUUGUUGAAAGGGAAGGGCUUGAGAUCAGACUUGGUAUUUUGCAUGCUGCUCUCUCGGGGGCGGCCGCUGCGGUUUACCGGGCCAGCAUCGGUUUGGAGCGGCAGGAUAAUGGCGGAGGAAUGUGGCACGGCUUCUGCUGUGUGUUAUAGCCUCUGACGAUACUGCCAGCCUAGACCGAGGACUGCGGUUUUUACCUAGGAUGUUGGCAUAAUGAUCUUAAGUCGCCCGUCUUGAAACACGGACC
rnacentral:rRNA from 1 species